GUGGGGUAUAAUGGGGUUGUUAUGCGGGUCUGACCUUACUGGGGUGGGAUUUAAUGGUUGUUAUGGGCGUUGACCUUCUGGGUGGGAUAUUAAUGGGGGUUGUUAUGGGGCUCUGACUUAUGGGGUGGGAGAUAUUAAUGGGGUUGUUAUGGGGUCUGACCUUAUGGGGUGGGAUAUAAUGGGGUUGUUAUGGGGUCUGACCUUAUGGGGUGGGAUAUAAUGGGGUUGUUAUGGGGUCUGACCUUAUGGGGUGGGAUAUAAUGGCGCGUUGUUAUGGGGGUCUGACCCUUAUGGGGGUGGGAUAUAAUUGGGGUUGUUUAUGGGGUCUGGACCUUAUGGGGUU
rnacentral:lncRNA from 1 species